GUGAGGAGGCCUAGGGUUUUUGGGGGUCCGCCGAAAAUUAGGCACCAUCUGACGAGAGGCAAGAGAAAUUCUCUUUAACAGUCGGCAAAGAGGGCCUGGGAUCAGAGAGUGGGUCAGAGCCAGGUCAGACUUCCUCGUCGAAAGGAGAGCGGGUUCGAAGUCGAAGUUCGACGAGAAGAGAGGCUACAAAUAGAUGUCAUUGGACGCCAUUGCAGCAUUCCAAGCCUGGUCGACAGCAUUGGAUGGUGUUCAUUUUCUAAAGUGGCAGCGCGGUUUUUAAAUAUUCAAAAAAAAAGAGAGAGAAACCUUUUAAAUUAAAUAACGACAAGGAAAUAUAUCUCAGGCAGUGAGGCGUUGUAUAGUGAUACCCUUGCAAUACACCCUUUCGACGGGGCACCCGUUUGGGUUGGAAAUUGGAGGAGGCUCGUCUUCCACGACAACCAGCUGCAAGUCAUAGAAAUUCGCCGGAGCUUUGGGACGUCGCCUUGGAGCAAUUCGGCGAGCCAGAGAGGAGAGGCCAGCUAGUGCCCGGCUCCGCGUAUGCGUCCAUACCCCGCGCGUAGGGGAGGAGGCAGAGAGGAAAAAGUGUUCGGCAGUUAGUGGCUGAUCGAAGUUGAAAUUGUCACAGAGAUCUAGCCUGGUCCAAAAGAAACAAAA